CGGUGCCCCUCCCCCAAACCUGCCCUGAAUCCUCCUGCCAACUGCUCCCGUCGCCAUAGCAACCGAGCUUCCCAGCUCCAUGCAACUCCGAGGCCGGACUCCCAGAUUAAAUUUUAGGAUUUUCCAGUAGGGCAACUGUGCAAGAUGGUGAGGUCAGGACGAGGCUAGCCUCGAGAUUGCCUGGCUUCCUUUAACUCGCUUUGCCCCCGCUCUGUUGCUUCUUGGAGACCCUGUGGUCCGAGGUAUUGUCUAGAAACUCAGAAUCCCUGGAAUCCCGCCCACGAUUUCAACACCUUUCAAAAUUUCUUCGAUCCUGGUUAACCUAAAAUGGAGAACUGGCUCUCUCAAGAGACAUCCCAUGCCAUUUUCUUCUCCCUUCUACUCUGCCCCAAAUGCUUCCUUAUGUGAAGUCAAAUUUAUCUCCCGACCCACAUCUUUUGCUUCCGUCUUGAGUCCUCCUCCCAGGGACUUCCUAAACCAGUGGGCUCACUUCUCCAAGAGAUCCUUUAUCUAACUGUAGUCGGGAUUAAUGUCUUUCUAAACCGUCUUCUCGGCCUAAUCAGCCCCAGUUCUUUCAAAUUGUCCUUCACUGAUGAACCCUAUGACUUCUAAAGAUCCAAACAGACAAACAGAGAGAAGUUCAACGGAGAACUCUAGAACAUCCUAGAGGGAGCUACUUAGUGAUAGGAGCAGAGCCAGAUGGACUGCCUUGAGAGCCAAAGCAGAGAAUUAAGCUUUUGUGCGUGUGUAAAAACAAGAAGGGACAAUGAGCAUGUCAUCACAUCUCUGACAGGGUGUUAUGUACGCUUCCCGGAUAAAAGUUAUACAGGAUGUGUUCUGUGUCUUCAAGGAGGGUGGGGUCCGGUGGAGGCAGGAGCUAACCCGACAGACAAGGACACUACGGCGUGGUCGGUGCUUUGGUCUAGAAGGUCAGAAGAGGGUGCAAGAGCAAAAGGACUGUCAAUCACAACGGGUUUUGUGACGAGGUGGUUGGGAGUGGGCGUGUGGGAGCAGAGUGCUUGCCAGAAAAGGGGCCACCAGCUAAGCGGCAGGCAGUUGAACAUAGGUAAAAAUGGAGGAAAGGCUGCAGACAGGACUGAGACAGCAGUUGGCGGAGCCAAAAAGAGCUCCCACAUGAUUGGAAAGAUCAGUGUCAGCAGGGAGAGCAGAAGGAAAGGCGGACAGAAACCAGAUCGCGACGGGCCUGGUGUGUUAAGAUAAGGAUUUGCAAUUAUUCGGAAAGCAUACGGAAAGCUCCAAGGAGAUUUUUAUUCUUGAAAGUUAAGGAAAGUAACUGCUAGACUUAGGGCAUCAAGAUCAUUUCUGCAUUUGGCUCUGUGAGCUUGGGCACCAUAACCUUUAUGAGCUACGUCCGUAAAAUCUGUAAGCAGACUAAUCUAGAACCUUCCUUGCUGAGCUACUGUAAAAAGAAGACCGUGGCUAUAGGGCACCUAGUACAGUAUCUGGGUUUAUAGUUAUGAUAUGGGGGAUAUCUCCAAACACGAAGAACCGUGGCUUGGCAAUCAGGGAGAAUGCUGAACUGGAAGUAAGUUCUGUCUUUAAAUCUGGAUUCUGCCGCGUCCUGGCUCUAUGACCUUGAGCAUGUCCCUUGACUUCUCUGAGCAAACAAACGGUAUCAACUUCACAAGGUUAAGUCAGGGUAGUGCCUGCGACAGAAAAAGCCUCUUUUUUCUUUUCCUUUUUGGGGCUGCAGGGCUUUUGGACGUCAACCAUCCGCUUUAUGAGGAAGACCAUCCUGGGGUGGGAUACCAUGCUCUGAAGAAUAAUCUCUGGAAUCCUGAUUAGCAAAGCAGCAUAUCAGGAGCACCAUCUGGAGGUGCGUGAACACCUGGGGAAAGGAGGCGAGGUGCGGGCCUGCCUGUGAGGGAGCCAGAGCAAAUGUGUGCCCAGAGCACUUCUGGAGCACGACCUCGCCGAAACGCCUGCUGAGCCGUUACUUAAAGGCCUACACAGGUGUAGACCAAAUUCCAGGCCUAAAUCAAGGAAAAGUAUUUCCAUAUGUUCCCAUGCAGAGACCAGAGGAGCAAAAGCCGCUGUAGCCGGGGAGGAGGGUAGAGGCGGAAGUGAGGAACCAGCAGAGGAAGGGAGAAAAACAGAAGAGCUGCCAAUGUAAAGAAUUCAUUAGAGGAGAGUCAUGUUGUGACCUCCAAGACGAAGAUGAGUGAAAAUUCUUGUAUGAUUUAAUAUGCUGUGGAAAUAGUCCAAACCACACACUCUCUGUGCAGGCUGAGGUCUUUUACCUUCAUUUCAGGAAGGUCCUACUACCCAUUAGUCUGCGUAUUACUUACUUGGUCUGAGCUUCUUUGUAACAUGCUGGCAGGAUCAGAUGGGGAGGCUGCCCGCGGGCUGCAACUGGAGGGGCCUGGACAGCGGAAGUGUGGAAGAUAUGGAAGUGUGGCUACCAGUCUCCUUGAGGAGCAUCCCAGCUGAGUGCCACAUGAGCCAUCAGGGAGCCUUACUUCCCGGGACCGAACUGUUACCCCAUGGUAUCGUCUCCAGUGCUCUCAUGCCAUCAGAUCAGUCCGCUAGUUUUUAAGCUUAAAAAAACCAACAACAUCACAUUAGAAACAUCUUCUUCUUAAGAUGUCCUUAUGAAGCAAUGACACCCCUUUGGAAAACAAGCCCCAAAAUCUCUAAAAUCAAAUAAAAAAAAUAUAUGCCUGCCCUGCUUGGAAAUUAGAAGGUGGUCCUGAGGUCUUACCCACUAGCUUCUCUCCCCAUAUGCAAAUCCAUCCCUGAGGGCUUCACAGAGCAAGAGUGAAAACUAUAGCUCUAGUCCAACUCCUUCAAUUUGUAGAUGAGGAAACUAGGGAUUAAGAGAUUGUCCAAGGGUCAGUAAUUAGUUAGGGAUCGAGUUGGGACUGAAAUCACAUUCUUCUGGUCCUGAUCUCAGUGCAUUAUCCUAGCCCUGGACUCACAGCUAUUUGCUUUCAGAAGAAGGGUGGUUACAGUGAUGUCAUGUCUCAUGGGCUGGGAGAUACAAGAAGCAGUGGGAGAAUUUGAGGAACCUGAUGCCCUCUCUUCUGUAGGAGCCCUAGUGGAAGCCUCCAGACCAGGUCCUUCCUGGGGGCAAAAUACACGUCUUUUGAAUUGGGAUGAAAUGCUGUGGUUUCAGGCAAGAGUCUCAGGGAGCCCACAGUCUCCCUACCCUCCACCUCCAGUGUGAGACAUUCCCUGUGUCAACGAGAGUAGGACUCUGAGGAGCCGCCUUCCCCCAGGAAUGUUCUAUGCUUCUGGAAAUGGUCUCCGAGCUUUUAGGCUCAGGCAGAAAAACCCCAAAUUGCUAGUUUACUGUUUAUACAAGCAAAUUCAUAAUAACUUGCUGCAUCUCUCAAGUGUAAAAGAGGACCAGACCAAAGCCUGCUUGGGAUGCUUGUUGAACUCUUAGGUUUCCCUCCCAAAGAACAACUCGUUUGGCACAUUAAUAUUUAUAACAGUAAAAUAAGAUAAAAUAAAAUAAAAUAAAAUAAAAUAAAAUAAAAUAAAACAUCAUAACUUGAAGAUUUUUCCUGAGCCUCUGGUUGUCCCAAAGCAUUCAGUGAGGUCCUUCGUUUCCUCUUAACCUUACCGGGUCCCCUGUAUGUGGAGUGUCCUGAACCAUCAAGAAACAAAGUUGCCUGCUGAAAUCAUCACCCCUGUGACGAGACAGUGGUACUCCCCACACAUUCCAUCUGCUCCGUCGCACUUGCCAAAUCCCUUGCAUUUAGGGGGGGCCACGAGGCUAGUUCUGACUAAUGAAAUGUGAGCUGAGAUGGUGAAAAGCCUAUGUGCAAAUCUCCAGGCUCUCACUGCCACCAGCACUUUCCAGAUGGUGAAGCCCCCAUCAGCCUAAGACCUGAGUGAUUCUGAUAAGCAAAGUACCAUCCCACAAUGGACCCGUGCUGGACAUAUAUCAUGAAUGAAGCAGAAACCUUUGCUGUUUUAAGCCACUGAGAUUUCAUGGCUAAUCUGUUAUGUAGCAUAACCUCGCUAAUCGUGACAAAUACCGAGGAAUUUGGGUUCAAGGCAAGGAAGCCCGAGGACCUGCUCUGGCGGGAGCUACCCUGGUCGGUCCUGGGCUUUCAAGCAGCGGUGUGCUGGGGCGGGCUCAUGCCAGCCUUGAGCAGCCGAUGGAUCGCGCACACCUUGUCCCCACCUUGCAUUCAGUGACGUUGCCCUGGUAACUUGUGAUUGGCUCUGGCGGGAGUGGUCACUCCACAGAAACCGGCAAAGGCUACAGGUCAUGUCAUUUCCCACCCACCCUGGCAAACUGGCUGCUAUCCAUUUACCAGCAUUCCACUGGUUUCAAGUCUCUGCAGAGAGAGUCAAGGUGGGGAGUCGGAAAUGGGAAAGGAGGGCCUUUGGGAAAUAAGAACCCCUUUCAGCCCUUAACUCUUUCUUACAUUUUCUGUAAGAGAAAAUUUGGUAGAGAGACACUCUGCGACUUGCGGUUUUCUCUACAUGCUAGGAUAAAUUGCUAGAAUCCUGUCUUUGACAGCAUAUCCUAAACCUCAGGAUUCUGAGCUCAUUUUAUCUCGGCUGUUACCUUUGCACAGGAUAGGAAUGCCAGUGUCUCCUUCCACCGUGAGUCGGCAACCCCCAGCAGGGCCUCUGUGCCUUUCGGAUUUUCAAGGGAGCAGCAGAAACGGGCCGCUUUCAUUCUGACUUAGCUACUUGCAUGCAUUUCUUUCCCCUUUCUCACCAAAAUCCUUCGUGAAUACAAACCAAACAGAUUCAAGGUUGAUUUGCUGGAAGUCUGAUGUUAAAUUUAAAAGCCUUGGGGGCGGGGCGCCUGGGUGGCUCAGUCGGUUAAGCGGCCGACUUUGGCUC